rnacentral:tRNA from 2 species
GGGCCCGUAGUCCAGUGGUUAAGACGCCACCCUUACAAGGUGGAGAUCCCGAGUUCGAGUCUCGGCGGGCCCACCA